AUGAAGAAUGAAGAUGCAAUCGAUGCAAUCCAUCACAAAGUACAAACGGCUAAAAGCAAUCCAUGCAAGCUUAAAGAUCUGUAGUAAACUAUAUUACUGAAAUCUUUGUUUUUACAAUACAAAUUAAUUACAGUGAAUUAGAUAUGAAGAUGAACCAGAGUUCUUGGAGAUUGUGUCAUCAGAACUACAAUUCUGAAAGGAAACCUCUACAUAUCACAGCAAGCCAAGAAACUAUGUUGCAAAUUUUGAAUAACAGCAACAAGAUGAAGUUUGAAAGACAUGUGUAUAAUCACAAGCUGGUACAGAACUAUAAAGCUUUGAGAACAGACAGAGUGCCUUUCAGUCCUCUGUUAGCCUGGCUCUAAUAGAAAUAUACAACCUUGACUAAUGGCAAGUUACCACAAGGUCAUUGGUACAGGCUCCUGGAAUUAGCAGAAAGUUAAUGGAUCUAUCGAAAACGAUACACACUCUGGGCCUGAAGUUGUCGGCAUGUGAUAGUAACUUACCCCCAGCAUUCAGCCCAAGGAUAGUACCGCUUUUGGAGAUCCAGGGUUCUUGAAUAAGGGCAAGGUUGGCUAAAGCUUCAAGAGCACUAGUAAAAACCUUCAAUAAGAAGGCAGCUUCAGAUCUACUAGUACUUCGUAGGAAAUCCUAUGAUUCUUAGUGGGGGCACUUACCGGACACUGUGGACUCAAUACACACAUGUUCAAUCUUGAACUCUGGGACACAGAUCUGUGCAGACUGCCUAGAGGCAGAGGAAACAUCUAUGCACAUCUUAUGCAAUUGCCCAGCUCUAAUACAAAAACGCAACCUCCACUUAGGGCAUUACACAGUGGACCCAGAGGAGGUGAAACACAUCCCAGCCAAGAAACUGCUGCUGUUCCUGGCAGCAACCAGUAUUGGUGGGGAAAUCUAGUCAGUGGCGAUCACAAUAUUUCGGUAACGGUCAAUGUGAUUCAGGGACCUCAAGAAGACCUGAGGAGUCACGACAUCUAGAAGAAGAAGAAUGGCCAGUUUUAUGAACUUGAAUAAGUAUAAAACAUUAAUGUACAAUGGCCAACCCUUAGUGGCCAAAUGCGGAAAGGCCUGUGAAAGAAGAAGAAGAAGUAUAAAACAUGUAACAUCUGCAAAAUUGCUGUAGCACCUAACAGUGCAUGAAAACUCACCCAAUUUGCAGCGUGAAGGUAACAGUGACACGAUAAAAACACACUCUGAAAUAUGUAUAUUCUGUACUAAAUACUGAAAUGCUUUCCAGCAAUGGACAAGACUUUAAAAAUUCGCUAGAAGAGAAUCUUUAAAUAUGACCAAUAUACCCAUUCCCCUCUGAUUAGUCAGAAGAGACUACUAAGAGUGGAAUGUUGAAAUAGUACAACUUUAAUCCAGCCGAGGGAGAAGUUUAAACCACCACCGCUCAAUGAUGAAGCUCACAUCUUUAUCACUGAGCUAUUGUGACUUAAUCUUAGCUGUGUAAUUGCAUAUUAUAUGAAGAGGAAUUUAGUUUAUUGUUGAUCAUAAAUAAAAAGAGUAUGAUUAUAGCCACCAUACAGAAUUGCCAAAAAGAUAAAGUAAAGAUGAACAUAGAAGUGUUGGCUUGAUGCUACCACUGGAUGUUUCUUUAACUGAAAAAUAAUGAAAAGAAGAAGAAUAUGGAAGCACUGGUGUUUCUUGUAUAGACAAGCACUGAAUGUUUCUUGUACAGACUGAAAGAUGUUUGCUUGUCAUCAUGUUUAUCAUUGUCAGAAGCUUUCAACUCUGUCUGAUAACACAGAGUAUAAUAUAAAAGCAUUUGAAAUAUCUAAGUAAAUUAGAAAAAAGGAGAUUUAAUUCAAGUAUUCUUUUGUUCAACCUAAAAUGUUCAUUUCACAUUGUUUCAUCUCCACAAACUAGUGGUUGUGAUGAUAAUUUUAACUUUUCCAUCAAGGCGUUGAUGCCUCUACUUUUUUAAAUAAUAGUGAUUCAUGCAAUGGGUAUAAAAUGCACUUCAGUUGCGCCUUGGUUUCUUCAGCCAUAGUAUGGUUUCUUGUCUCUGAACAAAAUCUUAAUAAUAUCUGCAAUCCUAUUACGCAGGCUCCGUAAAUGACUGUGGAAUAUUAUUAAUAUUAACACAGGUAUUUUUUUUUUAAUUUGCAAUACAUACAUGUUAUUUUAAUGUAAAUUAAUACAAUGUAAAAAAAUUCUACUACAAGGGCAAAGAAGAUGCUUGUUUCCUGUAUGUCUACAUUGAAAAUGACAUGUUUGUCUCAUUUUUCACUUGUGAAGUUCAAAAUAUAAAACAUUUGAGUGAAAACAGACCUAAACGAGGGAUUCAAAUUCGAGUGAAUUGAAACAUUCAUUAAAUUGAAUUUUUCAAUUACCUCUGUUUUAAAACCUUUAAACCUCUCAUCCUUUUGAACUGUUCCACCAAUUCAUUGCUCCACUUGUUUAAACAAAAGUGCUUCAUGUAAUGUUUGUGAAAUGCGUCAUAGUUGCACCUUGGUUUCUUCAGCCAUAUUUUGGUUUUAUGAUACUGAAAUUUUUUAAAAAUUAUUAUCUCUAUAUCUUAGCAAGCAAAAAUGGUUGUCUUCUCGCAAACUUAGACAUUUAUUUCUCCUCUUCAGCACAAGCACAAAAAAUAGAACAUUUAAGUGAAGCAUAGCCAUAAAAGAGGGUUUCAAAUAAGAGCGAAUUGAAACAUUAAUUGAAUUGAAUUUUUCAAUUCACUCCGAUUUAGAGAACCUGUCAAAAACUUUCAUCUUUUUGAACUUGUCCAUCAAGGCAUUGCUGCCUCUACCCUUUUAAACAACAGAGAUUCAUGUAAUGGGUAUAAAUACGCCGUAGUUGCGCCUUGGUUUCUUCAGCCAUAUUUUGGUUUCAUGCCUCAGAAUUUUAUUAAAAAUUAUCUGCGUUUAACCAAAAAUAAAAUAUUUAAGUGAAGCAUAGACAUAAACGAAGGAUUCAAAUUCGAGUAAAUUGAAACAUUCAUUAAAUUGAAUUUUUCUAUUACCUCUGUUUUAAAACCUUUAGGCCUCUUUUCCAUUACACGGUUGUUCAAACGUACGGUGUGUAAGCCGUACGGUUGAAAAAACGUGCUAGCUUGUACAUGAUACGGCAAAAUCACCGCGCGAGACAUUGAAUGCAGAAAACUACAUUCGACAACUUGCUCCAAAAAUUAUCCCAGGAACUAAAACAUCAAGAUACUUUUAUGCGAGAGAGUAUAUCGCCCGCAGAAAGAUUGGCUGUAACUCUGAGGUAAGUAGGUACAAAAUUAAAUGACAUAUUUUAGUUUAAAAUUGUUUAUUGCACACAAACAAAAUUAUUACAUGUAAUUGAAUUUUAAUAAUUAUUAAUUUAAGAACAAGUAAAUCAAAAAAUACACUACGCUGAAAAUGCUACUCAAGUGCGGUACUAAAAUCGAAUUCGUCUUCAAUAGAAACUUGAGAAUCUGCCGAGAUACUUUCCGCAUUUACACUAUGUACAGAUAAUUGUGAUUCGGGUCGGUAGUGGAUUGGCUCUAAACCAGAACCGUGUCCAAAAUCAUGAGAAGACGUCUGUGGACGACUUAUUCCAUAGCCCGAUCUAGCAGCUGUAGAAUAUCCAUAUGUUGACGAUUGCGCAUUUGAGGAUGCUGUACCACUUAAAUAUCCUUGAUGGCCUUGAUCCCAUUGGUUUCUUGAUGUAGGUAUAUACUGAGUACACUGUCUUUGUUGAAUAUUUUUAAUUAUUGAAAUUACUUGAAACUGAAAGUCUAUCAUAUUUUCAUCACUGAACUUGUCAACUGUAUCAGCGAUUCCCAUAAAAAAGUUCAUACUACGGCUUUUCUUUUUCUCAUCUCGUUCUGCUGAAUCCAUAAACUUCAUAAACCUAAUGUCAACUUCACUUAGUUCAUUUUUUCUUUUUUUUUUAGCCCUUUGCGUCUCACUCCGUUCAGUGUAUCCCGAGCUUGAUUGAUUCGGGACUGCACUAUCAAAAUUUCGCGGAAGUUUGGCGGCUAAUGAAGUUCGCAACAGAUUUGCACAAUAUUUUGUAUCUAACGAAGGUCGCCUCUCCUAUCAAAACAACUAUGCAUAAGUAAAAAGUUAAUAAUUAAAUAUCUGUAACUUACCAAACUUGUUUUUCUCAUCACCACUUAAAUCUUCAAAUGUGGGCUGGAAAUGAAUAAAUAUUUCUUUCCAGGAAUCAUAUUUAAGCCGCUUAUUUUUAUAAUCGUCGAUGGUCUUAUCCCAUAUUACAGGCCUUUCUUGAAUCAACGUAAUUAAUAAUUCUUGAUUUAUGUUCAUUUUAUAAUAAAAUCGCGAAACAGCGUAUAUAAGCGGUCACGAAUCCGUGCGUACGUCCGGCACCGUCGACACACCCCGAUAGACUGCCAUACAACACUGGUGAAAAUCACGCCGUGCGUAGACGCGGCGCGCCGAGGGGCAGUCACGGCGCACGCGGCCGCGGCGCCGUGCCUUGGCGCCACCGUGCAUGUCGACAAGCUCAUAUAGUGAUCCAUACCACACUGACGACCGUGCCUACACGCGGCGAAUUAACCGUAGAUUUUCACGGCGAGAAACCGUGUAAUGGAAAAGAGGCCUUACGAGUAGACUUCUUAUCUUCUUGAACUCUUCCACCAAGUAAAUGCUGCCUCUACUUGUUUAAACUAAAGUGCUUCAUGCGCCUUGGUUUCUUCAGCCAUAUUUUGGUUUCAUGCCUCUGUUUUUUUUUAAUACGAGUAUCUCUGGUUCUGUUAUGUUGCUCCGUGAAUGACUGAAGCGCUUGAUAUUUGUUAAUAUUGCCACUGAAAAAAUAUAUGGUCGCACCGAGAAUCUCAAAGAAAACUCAAAUUUGACUUAUGAUUAAAUUUAUUAAUUGAAACUAAAGCUAAGUAAUUGGCUACUUCCUCCAAAGUUAGGAGUAAAAGUGUCGAAAUAAUUGUAACAAUGCUUGAAUUAUUGCGAAAGAGUAGGUGACGUUCAUAUUAAGGAAUGCGAUCGAACAAUGGGUGGCAAUCUUGCACCUUAUGUCUCACGUACUCUCUCGGUUGCCUCGCGUAACACUGAUGUAUUUUCUUAAAUUUCAAUACAUACAUCAGUAUAAAUGUUAAUCAUAAAGAAAAUUAUUAGGUUCUAACAAAGCUGCGUGUUGAAAAAGCAAAAAUGGUUGUCUUAUUCCAAUUUUAGACAUUACUUUUUUCUCGUCACUUGUGAAACACCAAAAAUAAAACAUUUAAGUGAAGCAUAGACAAAAGAGGGAUUCAAAUGAGAGUGAAUUGAAAUAUUCAUUUAAUUGAAUUUUUCAAUUCACUCUGAUUUAGAACAUUUUUUUUUGUGUUCCAAUUUUAUCUGCAAUCAGUUUAACAA